rnacentral:rRNA from 1 species
AUUGAACGCUGGCGGCAGGCUUAACACAUGCAAGUCGAGCGGGGUGAUGGUGCUUGCACUAUCACUUAGCGGCGGACGGGUGAGUAAUGCUUAGGAAUCUGCCUAUUAGUGGGGGACAACAUCUCGAAAGGGAUGCUAAUACCGCAUACGUCCUACGGGAGAAAGCAGGGGAUCACUUGUGACCUUGCGCUAAUAGAUGAGCCUAAGUCGGAUUAGCUAGUUGGUGGGGUAAAGGCCUGCCAAGGCGACGAUCUGUAGCGGGUCUGAGAAGAUGAUCCGCCACACUGGGACUGAGACGCGGCCCAGACUCCUACGGGAGGCAGCAGUGGGGAAUAUUGAACAAUGGGGGGAACCCUGAUCCAGCCAUGCCGCGUGUGCGAAGAAGGCCUUAUGGUUGUAAAGCACUUUAAGCGAGGAGGAGGCUCUUUUGGUUAAUACCCAAGAUGAGUGGACGUUACUCGCAGAAUAAGCACCGGCUAACUCUGUGCCAGCAGCCGCCGCGG